rnacentral:rRNA from 1 species
GCAUAUCAAUAAGCGGAGGAAAAGAAACUAACAAGGAUUCCCCUAGUAACUGCGAGUGAAGCGGGAAAAGCUCAAAUUUAAAAUCUGGCGGCCUUUGGUCGUCCGAGUUGUAGUCUGGAGAAGUGCUUUCCGCGCUGGACCGUGUACAAGUCUCUUGGAACAGAGCGUCAUAGAGGGUGAGAAUCCCGUCUUUGACACGGACUACCAGUGCUUUGUGAUGCGCUCUCAAAGAGUCGAGUUGUUUGGGAAUGCAGCUCAAAAUGGGUGGUAAAUUCCAUCUAAAGCUAAAUAUUGGCGAGAGACCGAUAACGAACAAGUACCGUGAGGGAAAGAUGAAAAGCACUUUGGAAAGAGAGUUAAACAGUACGUGAAAUUGCUGAAAGGGAAACGCUUGAAGUCAGUCGCGUCUGCCGGAACUCAGCCUUGCUUUUGCUUGGUGCACCUUCCGGUUGACGGGCCAGCAUCGAUUUUGACCGGCGGAAAAGGGUUGGAGAAAUGUGGCACCUCCGGGUGUGUUAUAGUCUCUGGUCGCAUACGUCGGUUGGGAUCGAGGAACGCAGCGCGCCGCAAGGCAGGGGUUCGCCCACUUUCGCGCUUAGGAUGCUGGCAUAAUGGCUUUAAACGACCCGUCUUGAAACACGGACC